GUCGAGUCGGCCUGCGCGGAAGAUGUAACGGGGCUAAGUAGUAAACCGAAGCUGCGGCAAUGUGCUUUUGCACAUUGGGUAGGGGAGCGUUCUGUAAGCGGUUGAAGGUGUGUGGUAACGCAUGCUGGACGUAUCAGAAGUGCGAAUGCUGACAUGAGUAACGAUAAAGGGGGUGAAAAACCUCCUCGCCGGAAGACCAAGGGUUCCUGUCCAACGUUAAUCGGGGCAGGGUAAGUCGACCCCUAAGGCGAGGCCGAAAGGCGUAGUCGAUGGGAAACGGGUUAAUAUUCCCGUACUUCUUACAAUUGCGAUGGGGGGACGGAGAAGGCUAGGUGGGC
rnacentral:rRNA from 1 species